UACAGAGGUCUCAAGCGUUGUUCGGAUUCAUUGGGCGUAAAGGGUGCGUAGGCGGCGCGGUAAGUCGGGUGUGAAAUCUUGGAGCUUAACUCCGAAACUGCAUUCGAUACUGCCGUGCUUGAGGACUGGAGAGGAGACUGGAAUUUACGGUGUAGCGGUGAAAUGCGUAGAUAAUCGUAAGGAAGACCAGUGGCGAAGGCGGGUCUCUGGACAGUUCCUGACGCUGAGGCACGAAGGCCAGGGGAGCAAACGGGG
rnacentral:rRNA from 1 species